CGUGUAGGAGUGUCCGUGUCGGAGUGUCCGACACGGACACUUCGACACGGACACUCCGACACG
rnacentral:miRNA from 1 species